ACUACUGGCCAUACCACCCAAAAUAAGCCUGAUCUCAUCUGAUCUCAGAAGCUAAGCAGGGUUGGGCAUAGUUAGUACUUGGAUGGGAGAUUGCCUGGGAAUACCGGGUGCUACAGACU
ensembl:rRNA 5S_rRNA 5S ribosomal RNA